GACGAACGCUGGCGGCGUGCUUAACACAUGCAAGUCGAACGGAAAGGCCCUGCUUUUGUGGGGUGCUCGAGUGGCGAACGGGUGAGUAACACGUGAGUAACCUGCCCUUGACUUUGGGAUAACUUCAGGAAACUGGGGCUAAUACCGGAUAGGAGCUCCUGCUGCAUGGUGGGGGUUGGAAAGUUUCGGCGGUUGGGGAUGGACUCGCGGCUUAUCAGCUUGUUGGUGGGGUAGUGGCUUACCAAGGCUUUGACGGGUAGCCGGCCUGAGAGGGUGACCGGCCACAUGGGGACUGAGGUACGGCCCAGACUCCUACGGGAGGCAGCAGUGGGGAAUAUUGCACAAUGGGCGGAAGCCUGAUGCAGCAACGCCGCGUGCGGGAUGACGGCCUUCGGGUUGUAAACCGCUUUCGCCUGUGACGAAGCGUGAGUGACGGUAAUGGGUAAAGAAGCACCGGCUAACUACGU
rnacentral:rRNA from 1 species